rnacentral:rRNA from 1 species
CAACUUGAGAGUUUGAUCCUGGCUCAGAACGAACGCUGGCGGCAGGCUUAACACAUGCAAGUCGAACGCCCUCUUCGGAGGGAGUGGCAGACGGGUGAGUAACACGUGGGAACCUACCUAGGGGUACGGAAUAACUCGGGGAAACUCGUGCUAAUACCGUAUACGACCUUCGGGUGAAAGAUUUAUCGCCCCUAGAUGGGCCCGCGCUGGAUUAGCUAGUUGGUGGGGUAAAAGCCUACCAAGGCGACGAUCCAUAGCUGGUCUGAGAGGAUGAUCAGCCACACUGGGACUGAGACACGGCCCAGACUCCUACGGGAGGCAGCAGGGGGGAAUCUUGGACAAUGGGCGCAAGCCUGAUCCAGACAUGCCGCGUGAGUGAUGAAGGCCCUAGGGUUGUAAAGCUCUUUCGCCAGGGAAGAUAAUGACGGUACCUGGAUAAGAAGCCCCGGCUAACUCCGUGCCAGCAGCCGCGGUAAUACGGAGGGGGCUAGCGUUGUUCGGAAUUACU